rnacentral:rRNA from 1 species
UAAUACGAAGGGGGCUAGCGUUGCUCGGAAUGACUGGGCGUAAAGGGCGCGUAGGCGGAAGUGGCAGUCAGACGUGAAAUUCCUGGGCUCAACCUGGGGACUGCGUUUGAGACGCCACAUCUAGAGUGAGGAAGAGGGUCGUGGAAUUCCCAGUGUAGAGGUGAAAUUCGUAGAUAUUGGGAAGAACACCGGUGGCGAAGGCGGCGACCUGGUCCUUUACUGACGCUGAGGCGCGAAAGCGUGGGGAGCAAACAGGAUUAGAUACCCUGGUAGUCCACGCUGUAAACGAUGUGUGCUGGAUGUUGGGUGACUUAGUCACGCAGUGUCGUAGCUAACGCGAUAAGCACACCGCCUGGGGAGUACGGCCGCAAGGUUG